rnacentral:antisense_RNA from 1 species
CUUCACGGAUCCGAGCCGCAGCGGACGGUCGCGGUCCUGCCCGUAGGUGGCCAGCAGCGCCUGCGCCUC